rnacentral:rRNA from 1 species
UAGCAUGGGGUGCAAACGUUGCUCGGAAUUAUUGGGCGUAAAGCGCACGUAGGCGGUUUGUUAAGUCGGAUGUGAAAUCCCUCGGCUCAACUGAGGAAGUGCAUCCGAAACUGGCAGGCUUGAGUACUAAAGAGGGUCGCGGAAUUCCCGGUGUAGAGGUGAAAUUCGUAGAUAUCGGGAGGAACACCGGUGGCCGAAGGCGGCGACCUGGGUAGAUACUGACGCUGAGGUGCGAAAGCGUGGGGAGCAACAGG